GCAGUCGUGGCCAAGUGGUUAAGGCGAUGGACCAGAAAUCCAUUGGGGUCUCCCCACACAGGUUCGAAUCCUGUCGACUGCG
rnacentral:tRNA from 1 species